rnacentral:rRNA from 1 species
UUCAAGGUGAUGGGUGGGUGUUCGCGUCCACUGUGCGGUUGUCUGAUUGCAACCGGCUGUCUGCUUGUUGGUGGGUGGUUGAGGUGUUUUGAGUUGAAUAGUGUCACUGUUGUGUGACCCGUUAGGUUUCCCUGCUGUUGCCCGUGUUGAGGGUGGUGGUGUGGGGUUAGGGUUACGGCGGUCAUAGCGUGGGGGAAACGCCCGGUUCCAUUCCGAACCCGGAAGCUAAGGCCCACAGCGCCGAUGGUACUGCAGCCGGGAGGUUGUGGGAGAGUAGGUCGCCGCCGGAC